UGUGAUUAAAGUUCAAUUUAGAGAUUGAGAUACAAUUAUUUAAGGUAAAUUACAUCUGUUUGAAAGUGAAACCAGUUUUUUUUUCAUGCAGGCUCUGUCAAUCAUAGCCAGGGGAGGUGUGGCUAGGGCUGCAUAAACAGAAACAAAGUGAUUUAACUCCUAAAUGACAGUGAAUUGAGCAGUGAAAUUGCAGGGGAAUGAUCUAUACACUAAAACUGCUUUAUUUAGCUAAAGUAAUUCAGGUGACUAUAGUGUUCCUUUAAGACUUUUUGAAAUCUGACCACAAUUGAUUAUUACAAGGAUAAAAGACUGCUUGCAUAAAGAGCAUUAUUUUUGAUAAAAAUGUAUAAUUAUUCUAAAGUAGCCUUCCUUUGCCCUGGAGACUUGUCAUGUUAAGCUACCUGCAAUACACAAUUUAAUUUACCUUCACACGGCUGACUUCAAGCUAUAGGUUGUUACUAUACAUGUACAACAAUUGCCUGUAACCCAUUUGAAAUCCUGACCAUCUCCAGUGUACAGAGACUGUACCGAUAAUGCGGCAAAGGGAAGUCAGAGGACUUAAAUAAGUAACAGGGUCUUUAUGGGUAGGGGUUUAUUCAAUAAUAUGGAAAUUAUGGAAGAAAUGAAGGGAACUACUUUAGGCCACAGUAGACUUGGUAGAAAAUAUUCCCAUCUCUGCUCUAUUAAAUUCCCAUGACAGUUUAAUUAAUAAAGUCCCCGCUCCCCCAUAUUAAGAAAACAGGUGCAGUUUCCCUGAGUGAUUGGGCUCUCCUUACUAAAACACGAAAUCCGAGGACUGUGCACGUACAAACUUAUUCAAAUUUCUUCUAGAAAAAUUUUAUCGUGCACAUAAAUUUACAUACAUAUUCAAACCUUGACUGAAGCAAAUGUAAUGUAAAUGUCAAUGACUGCAUCUGUCUGGAGACAUUAUUUUUAUUUGCACGCUAUUUUCUGUGACCUGCUUAAACUGGCUGGUGCCAUCAGCACCUUUACUAAUCACCUUUACAAAGUGUUUGUUUUUAUUUGAUUUUUUUUUAUAUUCAGGAAGUUGGUUUUGCCUUGGUUUUUGUAGGGCUGAAAAAUGAGGUCCCCCAAAAUAUAGUGUUGGCAAAGAUUCAUAUGGUCCCAGCUUUGUCACUGAUUAUUAGAGAUGAGACAGAGACAGUGACAUGAAAAGAUGAAGUAAUGCAUAAUGUGUGGAGGACCUAGGUUUUAAAUAACAAUAUAACAUUGCCUUUAUGGACUAACGAAAGCAAGAUAUUUUGCAAGCUUUCAGGACACUAAGAUCCCUUCAUCAUAAAAAUGUAAUUAAUCCGUUGCUAGCAAAAUCACCAGAAAAUGCUUUCUGGUUACCACAGUGGAUCUAAAUUAGCAAACCUUUCCUGGAUCCUCUUUGCAGUCUCCUACAAUGUUCCAUUUUGAUCUGCAAGCUAGAUUUGUGUGAUGCUGUAUGCAAAUCAAUUUCAACAUUUAUAAUUAUUUACACAGCAUUGACAAUGGUGUAAAGGUAAGAGUUAAAGCCUUAAUAUUAAAAAGCUUUACCUAUGCAUGUGCUAGAUACAAUUCUAUUUCUAUAAAAUCAACUCAGCCUUUUUAGGUACACAUUAAAUCCCACAAAUAAGCACUAGAUGGCAGCAUUGCUCAGUAAGUUGAAGGUACUUGGCUCAAAAGGUUUGUUUUUUUUCCCCCACAAGCAAAAUCAAGGGUCUGUUAUACACAAACUAAGAGUUCUAUAACCUUUGCUUUUUGUUUUGGUCUAAUAUUCCCUAAAUUUAAAAACAUGGCCUUUGGUUGUGCAAAUUAUCACUCAGACUAGGUUGACAUCACAGAAGACAAUGCACGAAAGUAUACCAACAGUUAAUCGAUUUAAGUUUUGCUAAAGAGGUUUUUCUUAAAGAGAUAUGCAUCACUUUGAGACAACUGCCAUAUUCAAAAGUGUCUAGCUUUGCAGGCUGAAUAAAGGUACCUGUGAUUUGUUUUCAUAUUUACCUGCUUCUUCUUUCUUAUGCUUUCCACGCCCACUCCAGGUUAUAAACACUGAUUACAUACUUUUUCAAAGUUCUUGCUUUAUUUUGAUUUUUAUAUAUAUAUUUUUUAAGUGUGUGAUUUCUGGUAUAAAAAAAAAAAAAAAAAGUAAUUGAUGCAUGUCCUUUUAAACACACUUUUGGAGCAAGCUUGUAUUUGGAUAAUUACAUUGUCAGGACCCAAGUGAAUUAUUAGAUUUUUGCUAGUAGGAUGAUCACUUCUUAUAGUGAUACCUAAUUUUCCUAUAGUUUGCAUAGAAUUCAUUUAAAAAGAAAACAUUUAUUUCGAUUUUUUAAUUUGCUAUAAAUGGUAUCUUCCUCUGCAAUAUUCUGCUAGCUUUUUGGCAGUUGCUUUUUUUUUUUUUUGCUUUGAUAAUUUGAGUUAGAGUAGACAUUGAUCAAUAAAGCAAAUGCCAAGUUCCUAUAUUUUUAUUGCUAAUUCAUUGUCCAGACCCUUUGUGAGUAAAAUUAAGAGACUGCUUUCCAGACACUGUUAGAAUUUAAGCUCCCCGAACCCCCGUUGGAAAGAGAUAAAAUUCCUUCUUAAAGGACCACUAUAGUGCCAAGAAAACACUCGUUUUCCUGGCUCUAUAGGGUCUCUAGGUCCCCCCCACCCUCAGGGCCUCCCUCCCGCCGGGCUCUAGGGGGUCGAAGGGGUUAAAUUGGCCUCUUUUUCCAGCACCGGGCGGGGGACUCUCCUACUCCUCUCCUCCUCCUUCUCGUCAUCAUCGGCUGAACGCGCAUGAGCCGCGCGCGCAUUCAGCCAGUCUAUAGGAAAGCAUUCUCAAUGCUUUCCUGUGGACGCUGGCGUCUUCUCACUGUAAAAAUCACAGUAAGAAGCGCCUCUAGCGGCUGUCAAUGAGACAGCCACUAGAGGCUGGAUUAACCCUAUUGUAAACAUAGCAGUUUCUCUGAAACUGCUAUGUUUAUAGAAGAAAGGGUUAGUCCUAGCUGGACCUGGCACCCAGACCACUUCAUUAAGCUGAAGUGGUCUGGGUGCCUAUAGUUGUCAUUUAAUUGCCUUUUCUCCCACACAGUGCUGGUAUCUGUGCUGCGGUCACAUUGACUGAUGAUCUUCUGUGCUGCUUGUGCUAAUCAGGAAGCAUUAGCCUAAUCCGCAAUGGGUGGUUGUGAUUGGGGAAGUUGACCGCAUUCAGCCUAUCACAGUACUACUGUAGGUAUGAAUCGGUAUGACCAUAAGGAAGUGUGUAAUCUUGUCUUUAGCCACACCUCCAGUGGAGGAGGGGCUAUGUGAUGCCAGGGACCCUCAUUCACUGUUAAACUGCCCGAAAAUGGUUUAACACUAAAUAGAGGUGCAGUGACAGGAGACUCCAGGCAUUGUAACCAAUUCAAUGAAAUCAAAUUGUUAUAGUGCCUACAAUGUCCCUUUUAAUAAACUUUAUAGACCUGAACAAGCUGGGGGGGAAAAACAUUAGAAAUUAGAUCUUUCUGAUUGGUUUCUUGAUAUAUUAAACUAAUCCUGAACAGAAAUAAAUGCCAUCUGUCUACUAUAAGUAAGAUUCUUAUUUCCUUCUGCUCUCUCUUACUUUUGUACAUUUAUGUAAAUGUAAAUUUGCAUAAAAAUCUGUCUGUGUAUGUAUAAUAUGUAUUCCAGGCUCAGAAUUUUCACUAGUAGAAUUAAGCCCUGGUGAGUGUGCCUUGAACCACUCCACUGCCUGUGCUGCUACGUCAUUGGCAUAGAGAUAAUACAAAUAUGGAAUCCACAGACAGCUGUACAAGGCAUCGUGGAACAUUCAGUGUGCACCCACAUGCUAGGCAUUGUCAGAAGCGAUGGUGAGACACCAUGUGUGGCGCUUUCCUUUUUUAAAUUCCCAGAUGUCAGCCCUGACACCAGCCCCUAAAUUAAUCUAAAAUAUUUAUAGGUUUCCACACAAGAACCUCUGGGAAGGUCCAAAAAAGCUUCAUAGUUUUUCUGACCCAAACUUCUUGCAAAACCAUAAAUAGAUCAGUUGCUUUAUUUAUGUAAUACAGAUUUCUUCUAACAGUAUUCCAAUUAAUAUAACACACACAUGAUUUCCACUAACGUGAGAAUUCAAAGUGGAUUUCAAAUUUAAGGUCGAAACAGCCAAACUGGAAAAAUUCUGUAAGCCAACUGUUUGAUUACGCUGGCCUCAAAUCUGAAAUUCAUUUUGAAUUCUCUUUUGUAAUUAACCCUGCUAAAAACACAUGCAACAACCUCUUCACUGACGAGUACUUUUUGAUUAAAUACAUAUCAUAACAUGUUUGAAGCAAGGGAUAUAUAUAAAACACAAACUUUGUAGAUUUCCUUUCAGACACUUCAUAAUAUGUCAAUUUACACCAUUUUUAUUUUUCAUUUAUUCGUUGUUCCUUUAAAAAAAUUAUUUGGGAAAUUAAAAGCUUUAUACAGUGUCCUUUAUCUUACAAUAUUUCACACAGGAUCUAAAAUGUUAGUGUAAAAGCAAAAUUGAUAUUUGUCUUACAUGUAGUAGGUAUGACAACAAUGAAAAAAUAAAAAUGGUCAGAUACCUUUGAUUAUAAGUAUUUGUAAAGACCCUGAAGGCACUAAUAGCAGUACAGCUUACAAAAAAUUGCAACGGAAUUAAAAAAAAAAAAAAAGUCUACAUUUGAGCAUAAUGCCCACAUACAGUAACAACUGUUAAAAUCAUGUAUACACUUAAUAUUUUGUUAAAAUAAAGGUAUUCAAAUCUCCUACAUCAAUCCUAAUCUAUUUCUGAAAUGUAAUGCUAACCUCCCUAACCAUAGGAAUGAUAUGACCUAGUGAGAUUUAUUGUACUAUUUAAAAGUAGAGGGUGAGCAACAUUUUAGCAAACGCACAGGAAUUCAAUUCGUGACCAGUGGCUUCUGGCAGACAAUGUGUUCCUCUAUAGGCUGCUAAUCAUUUCUAGAAUAUAAAUGAGGGUGAGUGAGGCUUUGUGGACCAAAUGUAUUCUGCAAAAUAAACUAAAGUAAAAAACGUUUAUAUUCUAUUCUGCAAGUGAAAUGGUUAAAAUAUUAAUGACAAUCUAUAAUGCUGAAUAGGUGAUCUGUCAUAGGUGGCACAGUUUUGUUCACAAUAGAUUAUGUGAAUGGCAAUGAAAAUGUAUGCUGUAAUCUGAGAUUUAUAUUUUAAAUGCAUUAAUUACUUUUGUUGGCAAGGGUGGAAACAAAUGAAACAACUGCAUAAUGUAAAAUCCUAAUAAAUAUAAGAAAUGACUUCUGGUUUUAA
rnacentral:lncRNA from 1 species